GACAACAAAUCAGUUCUUUAUUGAACAAGAACAAAACGUGGCACCAGGAGUGAACUGCGAGUGAAGCUACUGAAUCGUGCGUUGUGAAACUCGACUUGAUGGAUGGUUUGAAGCCACCGGAGCACCUGAAGCUAACAGGGAAUGUCGACAGCAACUGACACACGUUUAAGCAGCAGUGUCGUCUGUGUACUGAAGCCAUGGGACUGGAUUCGAAGCCGGAGGCCAGAAAGAUGUCUUCUGAGGUUUUGGUGUACUGCCAUUCACAUACAAGAUUCAGCAAAAAGGAUGGAACACAUAAUUGAAGGGCUAGAUGGAGUGCAAGCCUACGUUGAUGACAUCAUCAAAAGGAUUGAAAGUCCUGAAGGAUGGAUUACCAGAGCCACUGUUCUUCAAGAGGUUGCUCCACAGUCCUACACGGUGAGAACCAAAGAAGGAUAAAUCAUCAGACGAAAUUGGCACAGUCUACUGAAGACACCAGGAACUGUUGCAGAUCCUUCCAGGGCGCAGGCUUUAAGCGGCUCCUUGUCCACAGGCUGUCGGAGGCGGGUCACCGUUCGGUUCUCGCAGCCCUCCAGCCUAAGACGAAGGUCUUUGAUCUGUGACAGGUACUGCCAGGACAACAGGCUCUUCAUGUCCACGAACAUCGUCUGCCACAUCGUCUGCAGCCUCUGGAGGUUUCCAUCCAGUCUGAGGAGGAUCGAGUGGAGAUCAGAAACCGUGAAUCUGGAUUUUAACUAACCUACUGUAAGACACUCGGGGGCAACUCGUAACUUACCCGGCAACACUGUUCACA